rnacentral:rRNA from 1 species
AUGAACGCUAGCUACAGGCUUAACACAUGCAAGUCGAGGGGCAUCAGGAAGAAAGCUUGCUUUCUUUGCUGGCGACCGGCGCACGGGUGAGUAACACGUAUCCAACCUGCCCUUUACUCGGGGAUAGCCUUUCGAAAGAAAGAUUAAUACCCGAUAGCAUAAUGAUUCCGCAUGGUUUCAUUAUUAAAGGAUUCCGGUAAAGGAUGGGGAUGCGUUCCAUUAGGUUGUUGGUGAGGUAACGGCUCACCAAGCCUUCGAUGGAUAGGGGUUCUGAGAGGAAGGUCCCCCACAUUGGAACUGAGACACGGUCCAAACUCCUACGGGAGGCAGCAGUGAGGAAUAUUGGUCAAUGGGCGCUAGCCUGAACCAGCCAAGUAGCGUGAAGGAUGAAGGCUCUAUGGGUCGUAAACUUCUUUUAUAUAAGAAUAAAGUGCAGUAUGUAUACUGUUUUGUAUGUAUUAUAUGAAUAAGGAUCGGCUAACUCCGUGCCAGCAGCCGCGGUAAUACGGAGGAUCCGAGCGUUAUCCGGAUUUAUUGGGUUUAAAGGGAGCGUAGGUGGACUGGUAAGUCAGUUGUGAAAGUUUGCGGCUCAACCGUAAAAUUGCAGUUGAUACUGUCAGUCUUGAGUACAGUAGAGGUGGGCGGAAUUCGUGGUGUAGCGGUGAAAUGCUUAGAUAUCACGAAGAACUCCGAUUGCGAAGGCAGCUCACUGGACUGCAACUGACACUGAUGCUCGAAAGUGUGGGUAUCAAACAGGAUUAGAUACCCUGGUAGUCCACACAGUAAACGAUGAAUACUCGCUGUUUGCGAUAUACAGUAAGCGGCCAAGCGAAAGCAUUAAGUAUUCCACCUGGGGAGUACGCCGGCAACGGUGAAACUCAAAGGAAUUGACGGGGGCCCGCACAAGCAGUGGAGUAUGUGGUUUAAUUCGAAGCAACGCGAAGAACCUUACCAGGUCUUGACAUCCGAUGCAUAGCACAGAGAUGUGUGAAAUCCUUCGGGACAUCGAGACAGGUGGUGCAUGGUUGUCGUCAGCUCGUGUCGUGAGAUGUUGGGUUAAGUCCCGCAACGAGCGCAACCCCUGUGAUUAGUUGCCAGCGAGUAAUGUCGGGAACUCUAAUCAAACUGCCGGUGAUAAAUCGGAGGAAGGUGGGGACGACGUCAAAUCAUCAUGCCCCUUAUGACCAGGGCUACACACGUGCUACAAUGGCGCAUACAAAGAGAAGCGACCUCGCGAGAGCAAGCGGACCUCAUAAAGUGCGUCGUAGUCCGGAUUGGAGUCUGCAACUCGACUCCAUGAAGUCGGAAUCGCUAGUAAUCGCGGAUCAGCACGCCGCGGUGAAUACGUUCCCGGGCCUUGUACACACCGCCCGUCACACCAUGGGAGCCGGUAAUACCCGAAGCCAGUAGUUUUACCUUAGGGAGAGCGCUGUCGAAGGUAGGAUUGGCGACUGGGGUG